rnacentral:rRNA from 1 species
AUUGAACGCUGGCGGCAGGCCUAACACAUGCAAGUCGAGCGGAUGAAGGGAGCUUGCUCCUGGAUUCAGCGGCGGACGGGUGAGUAAUGCCUAGGAAUCUGCCUGGUAGUGGGGGAUAACGUCCGGAAACGGGCGCUAAUACCGCAUACGUCCUGAGGGAGAAAGUGGGGGUUCUUCGGACCUCACGCUAUCAGAUGAGCCUAGGUCGGAUUAGCUAGUUGGUGGGGUAAAGGCCUACCAAGGCGACGAUCCGUAACUGGUCUGAGAGGAUGAUCAGUCACACUGGAACUGAGACACGGUCCAGACUACUACGGGAGGCAGCAGUGGGGAAUAUUGGACAAUGGGCGAAAGCCUGAUCCAGCCAUGCCGCGUGUGUGAAGAAGGUCUUCGGAUUGUAAAGCACUUUAAGUUGGGAGGAAGGGCAGUAAGUUAAUACCUUGCUGUUUUGACGUUACCAACAGAAUAAGCACCGGCUAACUUCGUG